UUGCUUGGCGAGUGUUUCGGCUUCCUUGCGCAGGUCAUCUUCGUUUUCGGCGGGCGUGCGUUCUUCUUCCAGGAUUUGCCGUGCCCAAAGCAGCCAGCCGGGUUGAUGCGGGCGGCGCUCGUCGCGAUCGGCUUCGCGCUGUGCGAUUUGUUCGGUGGUUAGCUCACCGCGUCGUUCGAGGUCGCUCCAUUCGCGCUCGCGGAUGUCGGAAGCCGAUAGGAAGCGAAGACGCUCGACGAGAUGGUCU
rnacentral:rRNA from 1 species